rnacentral:rRNA from 1 species
CGUGAAAUUGUUGAAAGGGAAACGCUUGAAGUCAGUCGUAUCUGCCAGGACUCAGCCUUGCUUCUGCUUGGUGCACUUUCUGGUCGGAUGGGCCAACAUCGAUUUUGACCGUUGGAAAAAGGCUUGGGGAAUGGGGCACUUUCGGGUGUGUUAUAGCCCUCUGUCGUAUGAAACGGGUGGGAUUGAGGACUGCAGCACGCCUUUAUGGCCGGGGGUCGCGCACGUAGGUGGUUAGGAUGUUGGCAUAA